CGAUGCAUUCUUCUGCUCUAUUAGCAGUGAUAUUAGACUGCUGGGUUACAUUCUCUGCAUUUCCAGUAGUCUAUGUACUCACUUCAUGAGAUGCCUCUCGUAGUUCAUCUGUCGUUGAUGGAAGUGCAUGCAUCUUUGAUUCCAAAGUAGAAAUCCUCUGUUCUAGCUCAGUACAUUUUCGGCAUGAUCUCCUGCGUCUCUGGCCGGAGAAGCGCAUUUUGUUUUAAUCCAACUUCAAGGUGACUUGCCGCAUUUGGCUGGCUCAUUUAAAGUAAAAAACUAACCACUAAAGUUUCAGAUUUAAAUGUACUGGUUUCACUGUAUUAGCUAAUCUAGCUUGUAAAUGAAAUGAAAGAAUGAAAAAGAGUGGAAAUUGCUAAAAGGAGGUGAAGCAGGAGCAGUGUGAAAUGCGUCCUACUCGCUUGAGUAGGAAAGUAAGAUACCUUAUGCAAGGUAUCCGCAUAAUUAAUGGAAGAGGCGCAGGCAUACGAGAACAUUUCUUGCAGGGUUCAAAAAUAGCACACCACUCACCAGCCAAUCAAACAAUAAAAUAAAUAGUCACCAGACAUCCAAUCAAAAAAUAGCAUUCGUUGUAUCCAGGUAAAAUUACAAAAUAGGUGAUCUCCUCCCUGCAAUCUUAUGCCUAUUGAUACACAAACACAAGGGGUGCAAUCAAGUGCAAAGUGAAAUAGCCAGAUCGGAUGAAUGUGGUUCCUCUUCAGUUUGUUCAUUUUCAUUUUAUAUUUUCUGAACAAUAUUACUUGCUUGAUCAAAAUGAUUACGAGAAUGUGUGCACUACUUUUGCUACAGUGCAAGUGUUACUAAAUCAAUAGAUUAGAUUCGAUUCAACUAUGUACUCCUCUUAGUAAGUAGUAAAUGGUGCACUUGUUUUAGUAAAUAGUGCACUAUGUACUCCUCUUAGUAAGUAGUAAAUGGUGCACUUGUUUUAGUAAAUAGUGCACUAUGUACUCCUCUUAGUAAGUAGUAAAUAGUGCACUUACUUUAUUAAAUUGUGCACUCAUUUUUUUUUUUUAAAUCUCACCCCAAACUGAGCUCAAAACUUGAGAACCCUGAUAUACAAAUGUCAACAAUGAAAAUAAUGAGUUUUUAUAUUAACAAGAACCGUAAACAGACCAUAAUUCAAAUAUGUCCUGUUGGUCUAACUUGACAGGCUUGUUGACCCUAACCUGACUGUCCUGUAGUGUCUGUUACAUUACUGUGUCCUGUACAGUAAACUGACAGAUUUACUACACUCUAGUUGAUGUCCGCUAGUGUCUGUGAUCUUGCCAUCCUGCAGUGUUAACUGAUAGAUAUGUUGUCCCUGUAGCUAAUGUCCUGGGGUGCGUUUCCCAAAAGCAUCGUUGCUAACUACGGUAGCAACUAACAUGGUUGCAACUAUGUAAGUAUGACACAACUGUUCCCCAAAACGAUAGUGAACUAUGGUGGUGGAACUUACAUAGUACGAUGCAUCGUGACACUGCGUCAGUGUUUCCCAAAACCAUAGUAGCAACUAACGUUCACAACCACUAUCGUAAAGUUGUGUAGUUACAGCUACACCUCUCGACCUGUAGUAUGUAGUAAGAACCAUAGUAGACAACGUAACCCUGAUGACGGAACACGCAGAGGACAGAUGGAUGAGAGGUAGCCAUUAAACAAUCCCAUAACAUUGCUGUGGGAUACCAUACCAUAGCAUUGCUGGAAGCUACAAUUGCACAUUACUGGACAACGUUAUGUGGUACAGUGGAAAGUGAAGUGUUGUGGAGUUAGCCUACAACAGAGCGGCCUGUGGUGAAGUGCUAUGGUGACCGCAAUCAUCUGUGUUGUUAUUAUUCGUGAAUUUACAUGUAGCCUAAUGCUAAUGUGUCAGCACAGAUUCUUUCGAACACCCGUUAAGUUAAGUUAUCUGGUGAUAAAGCUUUUGAAUGCCAACGGUAUUGUUAUGUGAGGCUAGCAUUGUAAUUGUUAUAAAAGGAUAAUGUUACAUUGUAGUCUUAUGUUAAGUGUGUUUGGAUGAAUCUGCUAAUCAUACACAUAGCUAACGGUAUAUGGACUCUACAGCCCAUUAUGAUGUGGUGAAGUGACUGUGCUGUGGCAGAGACUGUAGCAUGUGUGCUUUACAUGAGACAGGUCAGGGGUUCAAGACUGAGUCGAUGGGUGUGAGGUGAGUAUGCCUGUGGAGUGGGGUUUGUGUUGUAUCUUGUCUGAUGACAAACUAUGUUUAGCGGGUGUAUAAGUUAGGCUACUCUCAGUUAUUAUAUGAUCUUGAUAUUUGAACACAUAGCUGAAUUAUGUUGGUACAAUGACAUUGGAGAAUGCUGCUGUGAAGUUGAGUAGCCUCGCGCUUGGAGAACUUUAAGACCUCUGGGACUUAAGUGAGCAUGCAGAGUGCUGUGGUCAGUGUCAAAAUGUGACAUGAUUUUCACUGAUUUAACUUGUCCUUCAUGGCCCAGGGAUGGGUAGGCCUGUCAUGGGAGGCGGAAAAAUGGCCAGCAGGAAGGUGUGCAGCAGCCACUGGAAUGACCUCUUCCACCUCCUCCACUAACAGCUCCUCAUCAGCCGGCAGUGGGAUGUGAUCCUGAAGGGCCAUGUUGCAGAAGCGCCGCCACCAAAACUACACUGCACGCCUUUGCAGGAUGGAGCUUCAGGCCACCAGCGGAUUUGCUCACACACCUUUCCACAUGCCCAGGGCCCUCUCCACAACAACGCGGGUCCGGCUAUGGGCGUUGUUGUACCGCGCCUCUGCCUCACUGUUGGGCUCCUAGAUGGAGCAGUUGACAUGCUUGUAUUAUCAUAGGGGGGUUUAUGGAAUAAAGUAGGUCUUGAAAUGUCAGUGCACUCAGGGAAUAUAGACAUGCAUUUGAAAACAACAGUAUAGACUUUGCUACUAUCUCAGCAGUAGAAGGCAACAACAUGAGCAGCACCUACAGUAACACUGUGUGUGUGUGUGUGUGUGUGUGUGUGUGUGUGUGUGUGUUGGUACAGCUGGCGCAGAUCCUUCAACCAUUUGAGCAUUGAAACAUUUGUGCUAUGUGAACUGUCGUUUUGUGGUUGUGAUUCAACACACAACUUCAUAACUACAAUGGAUGAAAAGUAAUGCCGAGGCUCGAUCAUCCAUGAGUCGGAUUUAACAUUUACAGCCAACGUGACCCUUCCCAGCAGUACGGCCAUCUACAACACUAUGCUCCGUGCGGCCCAGAGUGGAGACCUCACUUUCACCAUCACCACACUCAAACGGCACAGCUGUGUCCUCGGCAGUAGUCAGCAGUGUGGCCAGCGUCUUCACUGCCUGGAGCCUGGUGGUCAUCUCUCUAUUGGUGUCACUACAGUGGUUGGCUCAGUGACCUGUCAAUCAUUGAAGUGUCCAAUGGCAUGUGAGAAAUAACUCACAGGGGACCAGAUCAGAACUUACCCUCAAAAAGACUUCCCCUUAGAAUCACCAAACAAGGGCCCACACGGAAGCAUGUUAACAUAGAAAUUACAAACAAGGGCCCAUAUGGAAGCUGUUUUCCAUAGAAACUCCAAAACAAGAGCCCUAAUGACCACUGAUCUCAGUCUGAUCUAAGUCAGGUCAGGUGUGAAUGCAGCAAUGAUCUUUAUGACAGAUAUUUGGCAUGAAGUACAUCUGUUUGCUUGUUUUCUUAUUCCAUUAAUUAAUAUCUUCUUAAUGUAACUAUAAUAACCUAAUGUAUGACCUAAUGUAACUAACUAUUAAACACAAAGGCAAAUGACAACAUUAGUCCAUUUCAUCAUUCAAUACUGCCACAACCACA